UACGAAGGGGCUAGCGUUGCUCGGAAUCACUGGGCGUAAAGCGCACGUAGGCGGAUUGUUAAGUCAGGGGUGAAAUCCUGGAGCUCAACUCCAGAACUGCCUUUGAUACUGGCGAUCUCGAGUCCGGGAGAGGUGAGUGGAACUGCGAGUGUAGAGGUGAAAUUCGUAGAUAUUCGCAAGAACACCAGUGGCGAAGGCGGCUCACUGGCCCGGUACUGACGCUGAGGUGCGAAAGCGUGGGGAGCA
rnacentral:rRNA from 1 species